rnacentral:rRNA from 1 species
GAUGAACGCUGGCGGCGUGCCUAAUACAUGCAAGUCGAGCGAACAGACGAGGAGCUUGCUCCUCUGACGUUAGCGGCGGACGGGUGAGUAACACGUGGAUAACCUACCUAUAAGACUGGGAUAACUUCGGGAAACUGGAGCUAAUACCGGAUAAUAUAUUGAACCGCAUGGUUCAAUAGUGAAAGACGGUUUUGCUGUCACUUAUAGAUGGAUCCGCGCCGCAUUAGCUAGUUGGUAAGGUAACGGCUUACCAAGGCGACGAUGCGUAGCCGACCUGAGAGGGUGAUCGGCCACACUGGAACUGAGACACGGUCCAGACUCCUACGGGAGGCAGCAGUAGGGAAUCUUCCGCAAUGGGCGAAAGCCUGACGGAGCAACGCCGCGUGAGUGAUGAAGGUCUUCGGAUCGUAAAACGCUGUUAUUAGGGAAGAACAAAUGUGUAAGUAACUAUGCACGUCUUGACGGUACCUAAGCAGAAAGCCACGGCUAACUACGU